rnacentral:sRNA from 1 species
UGCCUAACCCUUAUGAGAAAUUAUAAGGUAUGGCAUAAAUCGCAUCGAGCUUAAAGAUCCCAUCAUCAGGAUCGCUCGAUGCGUCAUACUUGGAAACUUGUAUGGAGUCGCAAGACUC